CCGGGCCUUGUACACACCGAUGACCGGAACUUAACCGUUCCUUCUCUUCGGAGCAUUGGAGACAGGUGGUGCAUGGUUGUCGUCAGCUCGUGUCGUGAGAUGUUGGGUUAAGUCCCGCAACGAGCGCAACCCUUAUCUUUAGUGGCCAGCAGUAAGAUGGGCACUCUAGAGAGACUGCCGGGGAUAACCCGGAGGAAGGUGGGGAUGACGUCAAAUCAUCAUGCCCCUUAUGACCAGGGCUACACACGUGCUACAAUGGCGUAAACAGAGGGAAGCGAGAUGGAGACAUGGAGCAAAUCCCAAAAAUAACGUCCCAGUUCGGAUUGUAGUCUGCAACCCGACUACAUGAAGCUGGAAUCGCUAGUAAUCGCGGAUCAGAAAUCCGUGCGCUCUACUGUGGUAAGGUUUUUCGCGUUCC
rnacentral:rRNA from 1 species